rnacentral:rRNA from 1 species
GAUGAACGCUAGCGGCAGGCUUAACACAUGCAAGUCGUGGGACAGCGCGGACUUCGGUCUGGCGGCGACCGGCAAACGGUGCGGAACACGUACGCAACCUCCCUCAGAGCGGGGAAUAGCCUCUCGAAAGAGAGAUUAAUACCCCAUAGUAUCUUGAAGACACAUGUCUAUGAGAUUAAAGCUUCGGCACUUUGAGAUGGGCGUGCGGCUGAUUAGGUAGUUGGUAGGGUAACGGCCUACCAAGCCGACGAUCAGUAGCUGAUGUGAGAGCAUGAUCAGCCACACGGGCACUGAGACACGGGCCCGACUCCUACGGGAGGCAGCAGUGAGGAAUAUUGGUCAAUGGAGGAAACUCUGAACCAGCCAUGCCGCGUGGAGGAUGAAGGUCCUCUGGGAUUGUAAACUCCUUUUAUAAAAG